UACGGAGGGUGCAAGCGUUAUCCGGAUUCACUGGGUUUAAAGGGUGCGUAGGCGGCGCGGUAAGUCGGGUGUGAAAUCUUGGAGCUUAACUCCGAAACUGCAUUCGAUACUGCCGUGCUUGAGGACUGGAGAGGAGACUGGAAUUUACGGUGUAGCGGUGAAAUGCGUAGAUAUCGUAAGGAAGACCAGUGGCGAAGGCGGGUCUCUGGACAGUUCCUGACGCUGAGGCACGAAGGCCAGGGGAGCAAACGGG
rnacentral:rRNA from 1 species